UGGGGAAUAUUGCACAAUGGGGGAAACCCUGAUGCAGCGACGCCGCGUGAACGAAGAAGGUAUUCGUAUCGUAAAGUUCUGUCCUAUGGGAAGAUAAUGACAGUACCAUAGAAGAAAGCUCCGGCUAAAUACGUGCCAGCAGCCGCGGUAAUACGUAUGGAGCGAGCGUUGUCCGGAAUGAUUGGGCGUAAAGGGUAGGGGGGCGGUUGAAGAAGUUGAAUGUUAAAGAUCGGGGGUCAACCCCGUAAAGCAUUGGAAAUUGUGAAGCUUGAGUAGUGGAGAGGAAAGUGGAAUUCCUAGUGUAGUGGUGAAAUACGUAGAUAUGAGGAGGAAUACCAGUAGCGAAGGCGACUUUCUGGACACAAACUGACGCUGAGGUACGAAAGCGUGGGGAGCAAACAGG
rnacentral:rRNA from 1 species